rnacentral:rRNA from 1 species
AUUGAACGCUGGCGGCAGGCCUAACACAUGCAAGUCGAGCGGAUGAAGGGAGCUUGCUCCUGGAUUCAGCGGCGGACGGGUGAGUAAUGCCUAGGAAUCUGCCUGGUAGUGGGGGAUAACGUCCGGAAACGGGCGCUAAUACCGCAUACGUCCUGAGGGAGAAAGUGGGGGAUCUUCGGACCUCACGCUAUCAGAUGAGCCUAGGUCGGAUUAGCUAGUUGGUGGGGUAAAGGCCUACCAAGGCGACGACCCGUAACUGGUCUGAGAGGGUGAUCAGUCACACUGGAACUGAGACGCGGUCCAGACUCCUACGGGAGGCAGCAGUGGGGAAUAUUGGACAAUGGGCGAAAGCCUGAUCCAGCCAUGCCGCGUGUGUGAAGAAGGCCUUCGGAUUGUAAAGCACUUUAAGUUGGGAGGAAGGGCAGUAAGUUAAUACCUUGCUGUUUUGACGUUACCAACAGAAUAAGCACCGGCUAACUUCGUG